UACGGGGGGAGCAAGCGUUGUUCGGAAUUACUGGGCGUAAAGGGCGCGUAGGCGGCUUUAUAAGUCGGGGGUGAAAGCCUGUGGCUCAACCACAGAAUUGCCUUCGAUACUGUAGAGCUUGAGACCGGAAGAGGUAAGUGGAACUGCGAGUGUAGAGGUGAAAUUCGUAGAUAUUCGCAAGAACACCAGUGGCGAAGGCGGCUUACUGGUCCGGUUCUGACGCUGAGGCGCGAAAGCGUGGGGAGCAAACAGG
rnacentral:rRNA from 1 species